GGGUUAAGUCCCGCAACGAGCGCAACCCUCGCCAUUAGUUGCCAUCAUUAAGUUGGGGUCACUCUAGUGGGACUGCCGGUGAUAAGCCGGAGGAAGGUGGGGAUGACGUCAAGUCAUCAUGGCCCUUAUGGGCUGGGCUACACACGUGCUACAAUGGCGGUGACAAUGCGCAGCCACCUAGCAAUAGGGAGCUAAUCGCAAAAAGCCGUCUCAGUUCGGAUUGGGGUCUGCAACUCGACCCCAUGAAGUCGGAAUCGCUAGUAAUCGCGCAUCAGCACGGCGCGGUGAAUACGUUCCCGGGCCUU
rnacentral:rRNA from 1 species